AGCUUUGCUCAGUGGCAGUAUCGUAGCCAAUGAGGUUUAUCCGAGGCGCGAUUAUUGCUAAUUAAAAUCCCAUCUAUAGUUUUCACAUGCACAAGGCUAUAAUACAGAUAGACGAGCAAGUAUAAAGGAUAAUUAUUAAUGUCUGCAUU
rnacentral:snRNA from 1 species